UGUCUGGAUAAAUAAGUCUCUUAUAAAUGGAUAAAGUUUUUAUCGAUAUGUUUAUAAAAAAAAAAUUCUAAGCAACAGGGCUAAAUUGCGCGCGUUCGAAGCGUAAAAUCAUUCUUUAUUUCCAUCAUUUUAUUUUGUAGGCAUUGCAGGAUGCGCAAGACAUGCGCAAAGAACCUGUUUUCUAUACGGCUUUGUAAAAAAAAAAACUCGUCAUCCCUUUAGUAUAGUUCCAUGGUUUUACCAAAAAAAGGUACAUCUAAGUGCGGUGCGAACGCUGUAUUGAACGCACUGAGUUUAUCUAUUGAGUCGUAUAAUCAAGUUGAAUAAAUAUCUCAUUUUUUUUAUCUAGAUUCUAAUUUAGCAAAGAUGCCUGCCAGGCAAGUAGUAACAAACCCAGUGUUGGUUGCAUUUACGGUUCAAGACGUUGUAACUUCAGGAGUUGUACUAAGCAUUGUUCUUUCAAAGCCUCUUGUGGGCGUCACCGAAACUUUCAUAUAUAGAAGCAUUCUUCGGAGAUACAGCGGAGCUGCUGGAAUAAGGAAUGACGAUUUGUUCCUAGAAGUCCGCAGGAAGAUUACUGAUCUAAUUACCAAUAAUUUUGUUGUCCGCCAACGAUCAAGAUUGUUUUUAAAAACCCAAUGAACAAUUGAUUCUUGAGUUUUUUGAAAAUAGAGUUUAAUUAAUAAAUUAAAUUUCUAAAAAAAUU
rnacentral:sRNA from 1 species